CCGAAACACAACUCAAAAACUGAAGAAUUACAGAUUAAAUCUUCAGAAAUCAAACACCAUAAAAAACCAGUAGAUUAAGACUAUUCCAUGAUCUAAAAGAUCAAAUCUGACUGAAACACACGAAAACUAAAAAAAUAGGUUUCAGAAAUCAAUUUGUUGUGGAUCUUCAACAACAACAUAUUGAAAAGAUCAAAUCGAAGGAAACAACAAGAUCAACUGCUUCUUGGUGUUAAGAAAGCAGUAAAGGAUGCAUUUUUAAGUUCGAGAAACAAUCGAAUGAAUAGAAGAAGGAGUUCGAUAGAAGAAGUAAGGAGUUGGCAAUACUAGCAGAAUCAAGAGGGCCUUCAGGUUAUGAAAGAAGUGGAAGACGACCUGAUCACGAUAGAUAGUUCCCAUUUCUAUUUCUAGAAGCAACUUUUUCAAGUUGUCCCCUUACAUAGAUGCAACUGGCAUAUCUAUCCCCAUACAAUAGAUAGUUCCAAUUUCUAUUUCUACAAUCCUUAAGCCAGAUAUAAGUGAGGCAGAAGGAAUGAACCCUGGUGGAUGUGUUAAGAUUAAGUGUUUCCUUUGACAUAGUAGGAGUCACCUGCUGUUAUUUCCAAUGUAUGGUACUACUACUCAUGUUGAUUUAGUUAUACCUAUUUUAUUGAUAAAUUCGUGAUGCUGGUCCUUGAACUCUAGUUGUUUAGUAA